rnacentral:rRNA from 1 species
CUUGCAUCAUGAUUUACAUUUGAGUGAGUGGCGAACUGGUGAGUAACACGUGGGAAACCUGCCCAGAAGCGGGGGAUAACACCUGGAAACAGAUGCUAAUACCGCAUAACAACUUGGACCGCAUGGUCCGAGUUUGAAAGAUGGCUUCGGCUAUCACUUUUGGAUGGUCCCGCGGCGUAUUAGCUAGAUGGUGAGGUAACGGCUCACCAUGGCAAUGAUACGUAGCCGACCUGAGAGGGUAAUCGGCCACAUUGGGACUGAGACACGGCCCAAACUCCUACGGGAGGCAGCAGUAGGGAAUCUUCCACAAUGGACGAAAGUCUGAUGGAGCAACGCCGCGUGAGUGAAGAAGGGUUUCGGCUCGUAAAACUCUGUUGUUAAAGAAGAACAUAUCUGAGAGUAACUGUUCAGGUAUUGACGGUAUUUAACCAGAAAGCCACGGCUAACUACGUGCCAGCAGCCGCGGUAAUACGUAGGUGGCAAGCGUUGUCCGGAUUUAUUGGGCGUAAAGCGAGCGCAGGCGGUUUUUUAAGUCUGAUGUGAAAGCCUUCGGCUCAACCGAAGAAGUGCAUCGGAAACUGGGAAACUUGAGUGCAGAAGAGGACAGUGGAACUCCAUGUGUAGCGGUGAAAUGCGUAGAUAUAUGGAAGAACACCAGUGGCGAAGGCGGCUGUCUGGUCUGUAACUGACGCUGAGGCUCGAAAGUAUGGGUAGCAAACAGGAUUAGAUACCCUGGUAGUCCAUACCGUAAACGAUGAAUGCUAAGUGUUGGAGGGUUUCCGCCCUUCAGUGCUGCAGCUAACGCAUUAAGCAUUCCGCCUGGGGAGUACGGCCGCAAGGCUGAAACUCAAAGGAAUUGACGGGGGCCCGCACAAGCGGUGGAGCAUGUGGUUUAAUUCGAAGCUACGCGAAGAACCUUACCAGGUCUUGACAUACUAUGCAAAUCUAAGAGAUUAGACGUUCCCUUCGGGGACAUGGAUACAGGUGGUGCAUGGUUGUCGUCAGCUCGUGUCGUGAGAUGUUGGGUUAAGUCCCGCAACGAGCGCAACCCUUAUUAUCAGUUGCCAGCAUUAAGUUGGGCACUCUGGUGAGACUGCCGGUGACAAACCGGAGGAAGGUGGGGAUGACGUCAAAUCAUCAUGCCCCUUAUGACCUGGGCUACACACGUGCUACAAUGGAUGGUACAACGAGUUGCGAACUCGCGAGAGUAAGCUAAUCUCUUAAAGCCAUUCUCAGUUCGGAUUGUAGGCUGCAACUCGCCUACAUGAAGUCGGAAUCGCUAGUAAUCGCGGAUCAGCAUGCCGCGGUGAAUACGUUCCCGGGCCUUGUACACACCGCCCGUCACACCAUGAGAG